AACGUAGGUGGCAAGCGUUGUCCGGAAUUACUGGGUGUAAAGGGAGCGCAGGCGGACUGGCAAGUUGAAUGUGAAAACUAUGGGCUCAACCCAUAGACCGCGUUCAAAACUGCUGGUCUUGAGUGAUGUAGAGGUAGGCGGAAUUCCCGGUGUAGCGGUGGAAUGCGUAGAUAUCGGGAGGAACACCAGUGGCGAAGGCGGCCUACUGGGCAUUUACUGACGCUGAGGCUCGAAAGUAUGGGGAGCAAACAGGAUUAGAUACCCUGGUAGUCCAUACCGUAAACGAUGAUUACUAGGUGUGGGGGGAUAGACCCCCUCCGUGCCGCAGCUAACGCAAUAAGUAAUCCACCUGGGGAGUACGGCCGCAAGGCUGAA
rnacentral:rRNA from 1 species